rnacentral:rRNA from 1 species
CCCUUAGAUGUUCUGGGCCGCACGCGCUACACUGACGAAUGCAACGAGCUUAUAACCUUGGCCGAAAGGUCUGGGUAAUCUCCAAAUUUCGUCGUGAUGGGGAUAGAUUAUUGCAAUUAUUAAUCUUCAACGAGGAAUGCCUAGUAAGCGCAAGUCAUCAGCUUGCGUUGAUUACGUCCCUGCCCUUUGUACACACCGCCCGUCGCUCCUACCGAUUGAAUGGUCCGGUGAAGCGUUCGGACCGUGGCCUUUGGACGGUUCGCCGUCUGUUGGCUGCGGGAAGUUCGUUAAACCUUAUCAUUUAGAGGAAGGAGAAGUCGUAACA